rnacentral:rRNA from 1 species
GUAGUUAACACCUGCAUUAUUUGACGUUACCUACAGAAGAAGCACCGGCUAACUCCGUGCCAGCAGCCGCGGUAAUACGGAGGGUGCGAGCGUUAAUCGGAAUUACUGGGCGUAAAGCGCAUGCAGGCGGCCUGUUAAGUCAGAUGUGAAAGCCCGGGGCUUAACCUCGGAAUUGCAUUUGAAACUGGCAGGCUAGAGUCUUGUAGAGGGGGUAGAAUUUCAGGUGUAGCGGUGAAAUGCGUAGAGAUCUGAAGGAAUACCAGUGGCGAAGGCGGCCCCCUGGACAAAGACUGACGCUCAGAUGCGAAAGCGUGGGGAGCAAACAGGAUUAGAUACCCCUGGUAG